GGGCGGGACACGUGGUAUCCUGUCUGAAUAUGGGGGGACCAUCCUCCAAGGCUAAAUACUCCUGACUGACCGAUAGUGAACCAGUACCGUGAGGGAAAGGCGAAAAGAACCCCGGCGAGGGGAGUGAAACAGAACCUGAAACCGUGUACGUACAAGCAGUGGGAGCCUCUCUUUAUGGGGGGUGACUGCGUACCUUUUGUAUAAUGGGUCAGCGACUUAUAUUCUGUAGCAAGGUUAACCGCAUAGGGGAGC
rnacentral:rRNA from 1 species